ACAAUCUUGCAAAAUCAAUAUAUUGCACGAUCUUCGUAGGCCU
rnacentral:ncRNA from 1 species